UCCCUUGUAGCUCAAUGGUAGAGCAUUCGCCUGUUAAGCGAAGGGUUGCGCGUUCGAGUCGCGCCGGGGGAGCAA
rnacentral:tRNA from 5 species